CACAGAACCUGUUGGCCUUGACUGCAAGUUUUGAGUCAAAGAACCUUGGGACUCAAAGUUUGGAUGGGUGGGGGUGGGGGAAUGGGUCUGAAUGGAAAUCCAGAAUGAUGAGGCCUCUGACCCCAGGGAGACCUCCUGGGCCUCAUUUUGGGUAUGAAUGUCAUAUGUUUUGUGCUGAUGGAAUAUGACUCCUGCCAUAUAUACCCCCAUAAGUCUGCCAUGGAAAUGAAAGUACAUUCUCAAAGCACUGAGCUCAGAGAAGCACUGCCCUUGACUCAGAGAAGGAAGACACACGGAAGUGUGACUGUCAGUUACCAGAGAAAACUUUUUAACGUAGGCCUUGCCAAAAGAUGAAGGCCUUAGGUGGCUGUUUCACCCUUUAGUCUUUGGGGUUUUCUACAUAAAUUGAUUAGAAACACAGCUUCCAGACAAGACAUAUGCGUGUAAUCCCAGCAUGACACACGCUUGUAAUCCCAGAACUAGGGAGUUGUAAGCAAGAGGAUCAGGGCUUGGAGGCCAGCCUAGGCUAAAUGAGACACUAUCUGAAAUAAGAAUAAUAAAAUACUACUUCCUCCUGGAAAAAAAAAAAAGCCAGACAGCCACCAACUGGAGUAUAUACAAGCCUGGCGAUGGGUUUCAUCAACAGAAGUGCAGAGAAUAGCCAGCUUGCUUUGCCAGGCACAGGCUAAAGCUCACUGCCCAGAGGCACCAGGGACAGGUUCCACAUGCUUGACACAGAGCCAGGAGUUCUGGAGCCAACUCAAAGUCUCUGUCCUCAGAAGAGCUCAGAAGAAAAAAAAAAAUGCACUGGAAUAAAGUAGUCAAUGCCCACCCAAUACCCAAAGUACAAAAACUCCAUGCCUUGGACUCGCUGAGUCCAGAGUUCAGGCUGAGUCUUAAUGAUGUGGGAAGCAUUACAGACUGUGGACAGACAGCCACCUCCCUGCCAUCGGCAGAACAAUCGGAAGACAGAGACGAUGCAUAGGGGCCCAGAGGAUCCUGCUGGGCUCUAGGCUCAAUCAUUGCUCUGUGGAUUUGCAAUAUGGGAGUACAUUGUGCACAAACAAGCUUUGUAUUCUGCACAGCUUCAACCUUGCUUCUUGUGUGUCUCUUUGCAAUAUAAACUUAAAUAUAUACUUUAAUGUGCUCAGCCUACCGAGGACUGAUGGAGGAAUGGCUGAAGACAGCCGGAACACUUGAUGUGAAAAAAAUUCUAUAGCUUGAAAGGAUGCCCAGAAAGGCUUCAGGGUGACCCAAAUAAGGACACAGGGCAAUACAUCUUGAAUCUUCUUUCCUCUGAUUCAGGAACAGAAUAUGGACCACCACUGCCAGCCAGCCAGCCAGCAGGAUCUUCAGCGCAGUACAUUCCCAAAAGUUUCUCCAGAGGGAAUAUCUGUGUGGUUCAGGGAUGUUUCAGAGCUGGCUAAGCCUUCCCUGUGUGUGCCAACCAAUAUAAUUAAAAAUGCAUCCCAAGUAAACCUCAGACAACUGAGCCCUCCGCUGCAACGUGGGGGGGCGCGCUCACUGUCGGAGGGUGGUCACCCCGGUGGGCGCAAACAUUGCCCCAGGUGCUCUGCAGCUGGCUGCAAAGGCUCGUGAAAUUCUAUCCUUUCAAGUUCCCAGUGUGCUGGAGAGCAACCCUGAGAGGCCGGCUGGCAGCCCUGCCCCACCUGUGGAAACUAAUGAUACCAGCUCAGCAUAUUGGCAGAGGAAGGAAACUUGCACUGCAAACAGACCUACCGAAACACUGGAAGUAUGUCUGAACAGAAGCACAUUGAUUCAAGUCGCUCAAAGAUCAAAUUACUCUCCCAGCCCAGGUGAUUUUGUCCUAGAAGCCAGGAUACUUGUAUCGACAAGAAUAUUGAUGAAAAACCACUCGCUGCAUCUCGGCGGACCAUAUUAAGGCUGUUAAUCUCGGAAGUGUCCCAUAAUUUUUAUCCGACAUGCAGACUCUUCAUUGGAAAGAGUUUUAACUCCAAUGCAAACAGUAAUAAGGAAAUAAAAUCACUGGUGUAUGUCUUUUCCAAUAUCGGACUUGGUAAGAAUUCUUGACUUCUAUGGUCAAUUGAAGCUCAUCUUAAAUAAAAAGCUUUGUUUCUUCCAACAGA
rnacentral:lncRNA from 1 species